UUUUUUUGCCUUUUUUUUUUUUUUUUUGCUUUUUUUUUUAUUUUGGGGGGGGGUUUGGGGUUUUUUUUUUUUAGUUUAUUCUAAAAUGUUCUGUUACAUGUCAGUUAAAGUAAAUGUUACGCUGCAUCUCCUUGUAGGCUGUGUUAGAGCUGCAAAGCCUCCAGGAAGAUCAUAUUUCCCCUAAUGCAACGCAGAUGUCUUGAUGCCAAUCUGCUCAAUGCACUCUGGGAGCUGCUGACCUCUCCCUGGGGACCCUGACACUUAGAGAGAUUUAGGUUCCUGAGGUAUUAGCUGAAAAAUGCAGCUUAACAGGGAAAAGACUUCAAGUGGAAAUUGACUUUGAAGCCAGCUCAACGAACUGAAUGCUACUGAGUCUGGGAAUGCCAAAAUGUUUCACUUUAAUAAAAAAGACAUUCCUGACUCCAGUUUGGAUUUUUAUUCCCACAAUUAAAAAAAAAAAAUUUCCUUGUUUUUGAGAUGAAACCAAAUAGAAUUUAUGUAAAUUUCGCAUCACUCAAUUUCAUUCAUCUCUAACGUCAUUUAAAGAUAAUUUCUUUAGAACACAAGGUAAUUUCUUCAGAACACAAACCACAAAAUUUAAAGUGUCCAACAUAGUUACAGAACUGAGGGGGGUAUAACACCAAGUCCCUCCUUCCCCAAACUCACAAAACAUCCGAUUCUGCUAACACCAUUAGCUGCUUUCUGCAAACUGUGAAGAGGAGGAAACUGGACACUGCGGCUGGUGUUUGUACAGAUGCAGCUCUCCAGCAUGUUUGAGUAGCAGGCCAGAACCAGAAGAAUUUGAGGCCAAAUCUGAGGAAUGUGUGAAUAUGAUGACAUUAGUGCAGACCUUUGUGAAACUUUGUAAGCCUUGGCAGAAAGCACUUAAGCUAUUCAGCUGGUGGGAUAACUUGACUGGUUGGACAUUCUCAACUGCGGUGUGUGAGUGGAGGAUGCCUUGUGCUGCACAAGGACUUCUGUUACAAUUGGCUGAUCUAAACCCAAGAACAGAAAUUAGCAGCCAGGGCCAGCAAUGAAUUAUGAUCCCACCAGGUCACUUCCAAUGAGCAGUAUAUUUAGCAAGCCAAGGCUGUGGGGCACAGCAUACCACUGUUCAGCAGGCGGAAAAUCCUGCCCUUGACCGGGCUCAUCAGGUUACGCUCUGCGGCUGCGUAGGGGCUGAACUCAGGGGCUGCUUUUGGCUGCCCCCCACCCCUAGCCAGCAGCACCAUGAGCAGAGGCCAUGCAGGAGCACAGCCCCAUGCUGUCAGCUCCUCUCACGGAAAUCCUGACGUGCAGCAUCCCUGUUACACUUAAAUGAAACACAGUGAUGUUUCUUGUGAAAGCACUGACCAUUUGUUGACAACCAAACUGUCAGUUCAAGCUUAGAGAAACGUUAGGAAGGGUUUCAGUUUGGUACCUUGGAAUUCUGACGAACAUGAAAAGUAAAUUAACCAGGGAAAAUUAAGCUGCAAUAACAAAUUGGUAUAUCCCCUCAGCUGACACAAUUUCCAGGUCUGUGUGGUGGUGGUGGUGGUGGGAGGAAUCACGACAAAAAGAAAAAACCCCCCCCCCGCAAAACCCACCCCUCAAACUUCCCAAAUAUUUUGCUUUUACUUUUGAAUGUUCUUCUACUGUAAGCUCCAACGGGCUGCAACAUAUUUGUCCACUCACAUUAUUUAGUUAAUAAGUUCUGAAACAGAUUUGCAUAGAUGUUUCCUCAGCGGCACUUUUGAAGUGUUCUGUCUGGGAUAGCUGGUAAAACCCCUAGAAGUCUGUAUACUGGCAACAUAAAUAGUGUAUUUAAAGGAUGGGGGAUUAUCCAUUCCUUGACAGGGCUGCGCUACAUACCACUAGCUGUCAUACAAAGUCUGCUGUCAGUUGCUAGCAGCAAUUUUGUUUGAAAUUCAGUCCAGCACAAAUAAUGCUCAGAUAGACUUUUCUCCUGGAAAACAAAGCCUUCGGACCUUCAAAAGGAGCUCUAAAGACUCAUAUGUGACCACCAUCUUGGACAUAUCUCAGAAACAGCAUGAGCCGGCAGAGAUUAUUGAAGCUUCAGAAGGUUUUGUUUUGUUUUCUUUGUGGAAAGCCUGUUCUGGCAUUCCUGUCAUCUUCUGACCUGUGUGUGCAUCCUCUAGGAUGGCUGAGAGUAUAACAGGGAAGCCAAAAUCAGUGUUAACAGUUAACAUGCUGCUACGUUCCUACCUGCAAAUUCAUUGGAGAAUAAAAGUUCUUUGCAAAUAAAGCUCAACUGCUCUAGGUCAGCAACCAGUCUUUGAAGUUAGAAAACC
rnacentral:lncRNA from 1 species